GGAAGUCGACGGAAGAAAACAGCAACAUCAGCGGAGAUGGUUCAAAAUAUAAAGAAGCGACUUGACCGAAACCCGCUUUGCAGUGGCCAAAAAAUGGCUUGUGAGCUGAACAUAUCGCAAUAUUCCAUUCGGCAAAUAUUGAAAAAUGAGCUCGGAGUUGCUUCGCUUGGCCGCAUGUAAUGAACUGCCGAAUUUGGUUUAUUCCGAUGAGAAAACAUUCGUUGUCCAGCAGUUUAUAAACAAACAAAAUGAUCGUGUUUACUUGCUAAAGAGAUCAGCUGAAAAUGUGCACCUUCGGUUGGCCACAAGAAUUCAAGCGCCGGUCAUGGAGAAAGACUAUGGUCGCUCUCCGCCCGUAUUAAUCGACCAUGGCAUCAGAAUAAAUUUCGAAUAUUAUUGCGAAAAUAUUCUGGAGGGUGUAUUAAAGCCUUGGGCACGCAAACAUUUUGGCCGCAGACCUUGGACAUUCCAACAAGACUCAGCACCAUCGCACUCAGUACGCGCCACCCAAGAACGGUUACAAAAUGAG